UACGAAGGGGGCUAGCGUUGCUCGGAAUCACUGGGCGUAAAGGGUGCGUAGGCGGGUCUUUAAGUCAGGGGUGAAAUCCUGGAGCUCAACUCCAGAACUGCCUUUGAUACUGGGGAUCUUGAGUUCGGGAGAGGUGAGUGGAACUGCGAGUGUAGAGGUGAAAUUCGUAGAUAUUCGCAAGAACACCAGUGGCGAAGGCGGCUCACUGGCCCGAUACUGACGCUGAGGCGCGAAAGCGUGGGGAGCAAACAGG
rnacentral:rRNA from 1 species